rnacentral:rRNA from 1 species
AUGGGGGACGCCGCGGCGGCGUCGCCCCGCGCGGCGCCGGCGAAGCGGCGGCGCGGGGACGACGGCGCGGGGAUGCGGCGGGUGGCGGAGAUCGUCAUGGUGCUGGCCGCCGCCGGGGAGAUGCGAGGCGGGAGGGACCCCACGGCGGCGGAGCGGGCGCUCGCGGCCGAGGCGCGGGAGAGGCUGGCCGCCGCCGUCGCCGGGGGCGCGACCCGGCCCAAGGAUCUGUUCCCGGGGGAGGCUGUGCGCGCCGUCGUCGAGGAUCUCGGCCUCAACAGGGCCAAGGACCCCGCCGCCAUGGGGUUCCGCCCGCCCAAGGCCUCCAUCGCCGACAGGCUCUCGCUUACUAAGCGCAAGAUGGAAGAAGUCAAGGAAUCUCCAGUUCAACCAACAGCAAUCACACCUCAAACGACUGUCUCGAGUGGAACAGCUGAAUUCCAGCCGCAUGGGACUCCCAUGUUUGCUGUUGGAUCUCAUAGGACUCCACCAGCUGCUGCAGCCUCGCCUGCUACUGUCCCAGUAACUUCUACCUCUGUAAUGGCCUUGAAACAGCAUGGAUCAUCUCCUGUAAAGCCAGUUACUAACCAUUCAGUUGUUGCACUAUCCCAUACUGGUCAACCACAUGUUAAGUCAGAAAGAGGUGUUAAUGGUCCUUUGAAUUUAACACGAGCGACUGUUGGCCACUUGAACAAACCGUUUCACGAUACAUCUGCUAGGUCCAAUUCAAAUGCCGCUGCGAGUAACAAUCAGGUCGUGAAAAAUCAGGACACAAAGGUAGCGGCAGUUCAAGCUGUGACCGUAAACCCUGUUAUGGGGCAUCAGGCUACACCAGGGACAGCGUCUUCUGUUACUGCAAAACCUAUUUUUGCCAACCACAAUGCAAUAGCGAAAAGUGUUCAAAAUGUUCUGCAACAACCUGCUAAUCAUCCUAGCUGGACUCCACCAUCAACUGAGUAUAUGCAAGCUCGUUUGGACUGCCAAAUAUGCAAAGUUGCUAUCAUGGAUGCAAACAGUUUGCUUGUUUGUGAUGCUUGUGAGAGGGGAGCACACUUGAAGUGCCUUCAGCAUUAUGGUAACAAAGGUAUUCCUAUAGCUGACUGGCAUUGUCCAACAUGUGUAGCACAGAGCAAGGGUAAACCCCUUCCACCAAAAUAUGGCAAGGUCACAAGAACUGUUGUAACAUCACAGUCUGGUCCACCUGUUGGUGGAACACAGUUUUCUGUUCAGCGAGUGGGGGGAAAUACGGUUGCAAAGGGAAAUCACCAAGCGCUUGCUACAAAUGGAAACAUUAUCAAGCCAAACUCCAUGAAAAUUGGUAACACUGUAAAAAACAGUCCUGUAUUGGCUCUGAAUGCUGCUACUGAUCUCUCGCAAUCACAAGCAGUUUCUAUCUCCGGGCCUGCAAAAGUAAAUGCUAAUAAUGCUGAAACCUCCUCUAAUGAUAUGGAAUGGAAUGAGCAAUCAUGCAGCAGUACAGGAUGCGAACUCACUGCUGGUAGUGAAUUAUCUUUGCACUCUGUGGAUUCACCCAAUGAUACCGUUCACGGGCAGCAAUCUACAGUCACUUCUAGGGCAAAUUGUCCAGAUAAUUCUUCUGCUAUUGCUGCUGAUACGAAGAUCAAGUCUGAAGCACAGUCCGAAGCCCUGGGCGGAGCUGUGAAAAUGGUUGAUAAAAAUGUGACACCUGUGGAUCAAGCAAGCAAUAUUGGCAGUGAACAUAAUAAGGGGACUCAAGCAACCUCUGAGCCAGAGCUAGAUACAGAGAACGAUGUGGAUAUUACUAACACAGAAAAACCAAUAGAUCAAGGUAGCGCUGUUGUUGUGGAAGAGAAAGUCCACACUGAAGCAAACUCUGAACCACAUACAAUCAAUGAUGUAGAGAUGACUACCAGCACUGGAAUCACCAUAGGUCAAAGCAGCAACAUUGCUAUAGAAGGAAAAAUCGCUGUUGAAGAUAAUACUGGAACUCGGGCAACCUCUGAGCCACAAUUGAUCGAAGAUGUGGAAAUGACAUCAGUAAUGGAUGAGAAAAGCGAUGUUGGUAUUGAAGAAAAGCCCCAAUCUGAAGCGACAUCUGUAGUCAAAGAUGUGGAGAUGACCAUCGAUGCUGGAUUGGAAGCAGAUCACACACAACUAGCAGAUGGAUCAACUGAAAAUGGAGUAGGAGUACCUCGCCAUGAAGAGGCAUGCAUAGAUAAGUCUAACUUCAGCGAAAUGUCAGAUCAUCAUACCAACCAUCAGUUAAUUCCAAAUGGGGUGCUACCAGCCACAGAUGAAGCUUUAUGCAGUCAGGAGACUAAGGAGGGUCACCUUGUGGGUUGCAGUGUGGCCCUAAGAGAAGACAACAACUAG